rnacentral:rRNA from 1 species
UACGUAGGGUGCGAGCGUUAAUCGGAAUUACUGGGCGUAAAGCGUGCGCGGGCGGUUCGUGAUGUCUGGUGUGAAAGCCCCGGGCUUAACCUGGGAAUUGCAUUGGAAACUAGCGGGCUGGAGUGUGGCAGAGGGGGGUGGAAUUCCACGUGUAGCAGUGAAAUGCGUAGAGAUGUGGAGGAACACCGAUGGCGAAGGCAGCCCCCUGGGCUAACACUGACGCUCGAUGCACGAAAGCGUGGGGAGCAAACAGG